rnacentral:rRNA from 1 species
AACGAACGCUGGCGGCGCGCCUAAUACAUGCAAGUCGAGCGAGAAGGUGUAGCAAUACACUUGUAAAGCGGCGAACGGGUGAGGAAUACAUGGGUAACCUACCCUCGAGUGGGGAAUAACUAGCCGAACGGUUAGCUAAUACCGCGUACGCUUCUUGGACUUCGGUUCAGGGAGGAAAGCGAUACCGUGGGUAUCGCGCUCUUGGAUGGGCUCAUGUCCUAUUAGCUUGUUGGUGAGGUAACGGCUCACCAAGGCUUAGACGGGUAGCUGGUCUGAGAGGACGAUCAGCCACACUGGCACUGCGACACGGGCCAGACUCCUACGGGAGGCAGCAGUAAGGAAUAUUGCGCAAUGGGCGAAAGCCUGACGCAGCGACGCCGCGUGAGGGAUGAAGGUCUUCGGAUUGUAAACCCCUUUCGGGAGGGAAGAUGGAACGAGCAAUCGUUCGGACGGUACCUCCAGAAGCAGCCACGGCUAACUUCGUGCCAGCAGCCGCGGUAA